rnacentral:lncRNA from 10 species
AGUUUAUCUACUUCUGAAUAAAUCUGGCUAGGUAAAUUUUUUUAAGCAAGAUUUGUUUUACUAUAAAUAAGUGGAUUAUUUCAAUGCAAUGUGAAGUUCUAUUGGGAAAGAGAGAAUGCUUUGUGUGUACAAGUACCUGUCGAUGAAAGCAAAACACAAUGUCCUCUGAUUAUUCGGAACACAGUCUGAUGCUGAUGGCCUGUCCAUUGUAUCCAGUGAGAAAAGAGGCCAGGACACUGAGGCAGGCUGAAUCAAAACUUGAACAGAAGUGUUGUGUGUAUCACCUCAUUUUCACGCAUUUCAAGUGUGCUGGCACCUGACAUUAUAAACUUCCAACAACAGAAUUGUUCAAGAGAUGUUCAAGAGAUGUUCUGAGUAGCUGAGUGACAGUGCAAGGAGGUGCAUGGUUCCUGAAGAAAGAAUCAGACAGUGAAGUCUUCUCAGUUGAGACAAAUAGAAAAUCUCUUUCUCACAUAACUACAGCGAUAACAGAAAAUAUUGUAAGAGGAUGAGCUAUUUUUGCCAGUGCAUCAUUGAACAAAAAAGUUUCAAAGACUCAUUAGCUGUUUACUUCUGUUGGAAAUUAACGUUGAGCUCUAAAAGUUUUCCAUAGUGUUGAGAUGUAACUCCCCCAUGUCAUACCACAUGUUGUUCCCCAUCAUAAGAUGUUGUUCCCUCAUCAUAAGAUGAGGGAUUGAGGGUGUUGCAAGCAUUGGGAAAAGAAAACUGAGGUGGCUUAAUGUUGCUGUGUUUUAGCAGUUGAAUGCUUUAUUAUUUAUCUGGUUUUUUUUUGUAUGAUUUUUUUGGUUAGUAUUUGGUACCAUGUAGUGCUGUGUCUUCUCCCAAAAAGAUGUGUAUUUAGCUUAGGAAAGAAAUGCAAAGUGUGGUUGAUAAAAUGGCUCAUGAAAGUGCAGUGAGACUGACCCCAUCCUGUAUUCAGGGAUAGGCCAUCCCUCUCUGCCAGUGAAGAGAGACACUAUCUUUAUACCGUAAUACCACGUAGAGCUAGGGCUUCCCUGAUCCAGCUGGGGAUUGUUACCUACACCCAAUAUUGUUUAUUGUUAAAUCUUGUGGCUUGAAAUGUCUACUGAUUGAAAUGGAUGUCUUGGUCUAGGUUACUAUUUUUGACAUAUGUAACUGAAAAAAAAAGCAGGAUGUAUAUUUUAAUUUUUUAAAAUUUACCAUUUUAUUUCACGUUAUUGUACCAAGCUCAUGAAAUGUUUUACUAUUUGUCAGAAAAGUGACAUUAUGGCACAUGCAUUCUAAGAUUUAAUACAUUGUUUUUAGGGAGGUUGAAAUACAGUAUCCUGAAUCUUAAAUAUUAUAGAACUCUUAAACAAUUUGGCUUAGCUGGAGAAGGCUGGGGUAUAUUUAAGAAUGUUAUGUGUUCUGCAUUACUCCUUAAGAAACAGAUUUUCAGGCUGGCUGUGGUGGCUCACACCCAUAAUCCCAACACUUUGGGAGGCCGAGGCAGGAGGAUUGCUUGAGGCCAGGAGUUCGAGACCAGCUUAGGCAACAGAGCAAGACCUGAUCUCUAUAAAAAAAUAAAAUAAAAAAAGAAACACGCUUUUGAGAUAAUAGUGAUAACACCUGACUCUGUUACAUAUCACACUAAGACUAAUUGAAGAUAAGGAAAAUUGGUUCUUGAGAUAACAGAGACAAAGUAGACAGAACACAUUGAUUUCUGAUGUAACACAUAGUCAGUGUUUGAGGAAACUGUUUAUAGAAAGUGAAGCCAAAGUACUUUAUUUUACCAAGGUAACUUUUAAUAACCCAACUGUUGGAUGAAUAAAGCUUUUUGAAAAAUUCGAAGCAAAUGUUACUCAUCAUUUGGAGUCUGGAUGUCCCAGUUCACAGGGUUACUUCUGAAAUGUAGAACACAUGCAGCCUUCUGAUCAAAGGAGAGUGAGGGGACUGCUCCUGCCAGGGCCCAGUUCAGCCGCAGGACCCCAUGGCGGCCCAUGGUCUUGGUCCAUGCUGUGGGAGCAGUACAGGAUUUAUUCACUCAAUAAACAUUCACUAGGGGCUUACCAUGCCGUGGAUCCUAGGAGUCUGCAGAACACAUCCAGCUGAAACCCUCUUCUGCGGUAGACCUUCAGUUAUUCAAAUACUACUCUCAUUUUUUCACUGAAAUGUUGUCAGUCAUUCUCAGGAUAAACAUCACUUGUUUCUUUAACCAGUCCUCACUUAUUGUGGUUUUCAGUUCCUUC